rnacentral:rRNA from 1 species
UACGUAGGGAGCAAGCGUUGUCCGGAUUUACUGGGUGUAAAGGGUGCGUAGGCGGCUCUUUAAGUCGGGCGUGAAAGCUGUGGGCUUAACCCACAAAUUGCGUUCGAAACUGGAGGGCUUGAGUGAAGUAGAGGUAGGCGGAAUUCCCGGUGUAGCGGUGAAAUGCGUAGAGAUCGGGAGGAACACCAGUGGCGAAGGCGGCCUACUGGGCUUUAACUGACGCUGAGGCACGAAAGCAUGGGUAGCAAACAGGAUUAGAUACC